ACGGGAGACGCAGGCAUCUCGUUAAAAAAAGAAGGAUGCCAGUUCAAUGAUGAAGCUGCGAACCUGCGACGAAGGCCGAGGUUUCGAAACAGCUUGCAUGUGAGGGACACAUGAGGGCAGCAUUCAACAACAUAAACACGCGACUCUUGAAAAUCUGGCGCUACGCCGUAUUCUUCCGAGUGGCUGAAAACUUUCUUAUUACUGUGUUUUUGGUCCAACGUAAUAACACCAAAAUGGAUGAGAAGCAGGGAGCAACUUCUGAUGAUGUCCCAACUGGGGAGGUAACGUCUACCACAGUUACGGAGGGUGAUGUUGUCAAGAUGCCAACAGAUGUGGCCAUCACUAUGGAUGCUAUUCCCAAUGAAGAUAAAGAGGACAAAUCCAAAGGUCUUGACCCACAAGAUAACCAUUCCACCAUCACCUCUGACGGACCGGUGACUGGCGCUGCCAUAACGGAUCCUUAUCACUGUCUGACACAACAGCACUUCACCUCAGAGAUCUUUAAGAUUGAGAUCCAAAACCUCCCAAGACAUUUUGGAUUUGCGGAAGAACCACAGUAGGAUGGCAUGUGAGUUGGAGCCAAUUAAGCCAUCGCUCCGUUCACAAGUACCCCUUCGCCUGGAUAUAAAGUGUGCACACAGAUAACACUGUUGGUUUCCGGCUUGGUGCUUACAAAGGUCUUGACCCACAAGAUGACCAUUCCACCAGCAC
rnacentral:misc_RNA from 1 species